GACGAACGCUGGCGGCGUGCUUAACACAUGCAAGUCGAGCGAUGAAGUUCCUUAGGGAACGGAUUAGCGGCGGACGGGUGAGUAACACGUGGGUAACCUGCCUCAUAGAGGGGAAUAGCCUUCCGAAAGGAAGAUUAAUACCGCAUAAGAUUGUAGUACCGCAUGGUACAGCAAUUAAAGGAGCAAUCCGCUAUGAGAUGGACCCGCGUCGCAUUAGCUAGUUGGUGAGGUAACGGCUCACCAAGGCGACGAUGCGUAGCCGACCUGAGAGGGUGAUCGGCCACAUUGGGACUGAGACACGGCCCAGACUCCUACGGGAGGCAGCAGUGGGGAAUAUUGCACAAUGGGGGAAACCCUGAUGCAGCAACGCCGCGUGAGUGAUGACGGUCUUCGGAUUGUAAAACUCUGUCUUCAGGGACGAUAAUGACGGUACCUGAGGAGGAAGCCACGGCUAACUACGUGCCAGCCGCCGCAGUAAUAC
rnacentral:rRNA from 1 species